rnacentral:rRNA from 1 species
AGUGAACGCUGGCGGUAGGCCUAACACAUGCAAGUCGAACGGCAGCACAGUAAGAGCUUGCUCUUACGGGUGGCGAGUGGCGGACGGGUGAGGAAUACAUCGGAAUCUACUUUUUCGUGGGGGAUAACGUAGGGAAACUUACGCUAAUACCGCAUACGACCUACGGGUGAAAGCAGGGGAUCUUCGGACCUUGCGCGAUUGAAUGAGCCGAUGUCGGAUUAGCUAGUUGGCGGGGUAAAGGCCCACCAAGGCGGCGGUCCGUAGCUGGUCUGAGAGGAUGGACCGCCACACGGGAACAGAGGCUCGGUCCACACUCCGAGGGGAGGCAGCAGUGGAGAAUAUUAGACAAAGGGCGCAAGCCUGAUCCAGCCAAACCGCGUAGGUGAAGAAGGCCUUCGGGUUGGAGAGCCAUUUUGUUGGGAAGGUAGAGCAGCAGGUUAAUACCCCGCUGUUCUGACGGUACCCAAAGAAGAAGCACCGGCUAACUUCGUG